rnacentral:lncRNA from 1 species
AUUUGCAGUACUUUUUAGGGUCUAAUGAUGGUCCUAACUCUUUUUUUUUUUUUUUUAAUUUUUGAAAAAAUAUGCCUUGUUAUAGCCUUACGUUUGAAUUUGGGUGAUUUUUGUUUUUUGUCAUUUUUUGUGCCUUACUGCUUUCUUAGCCCUGUUUAAGUAUGUGCAUUAUAUUUGCAGUAGUUUUUAGGGUCUAAUGAUGGUCCUAACUCAAUUUUUUUUUUUUUUGAAAUUUUUGAAAAAAUAUGCCUUGGGUGCUUUUAGUUUUUUGUCAUUUUUUGUGCCUUACUGCUUUCUUAGCCCUGUUUCGGUAUGUGCAUUAUAUUUGCAGUACUUUUUAGGGUCUAAUAAUGGUCCUAACUGAAUUUUCUUUUUUUUUUGAAAUUUUUGACAAAAUAUGCUUUGUUAUAGCCUUUCUUUUGAUUUUGGGUGAUUUUUGUUUUUUGUCAUUUUUUGUGCCUUACUGUUUUCUUAGCCCUGUUUAAGUAUGUGCAUUAUAUUUGCAGUACUUUUUAGGGUCUAAUGAUGGUCCUAACUCAAUUUUUUUUUUUUUUUUUAAUUUUUGAAAAAAUAUGCUUUGUUAUAAUAUUUGCAGUAGUUUUUAGGGUCUAAUGAUGGUCCUAACUCAAUUUUUUUUUUUUUUUUUAAUUUUUUGAAAAAAUAUGCCUUGUUAUAGCCUUACUUUUGAUUUUGGGUGCUUUUAGUUUUUUGUCAUUUUUUGUGCCUUACUCCUUUCUUAGCCCUGUUUAGGUAUGUGCAUUACAUUUGCAGUACUUUUUAGGGUCUAAUGAUGGUCCUAACUCAAAUUUUUUUUUUUUUGACAUUUUUGAAAAAAUAUGCCUUGUUAUAGCCUUACGUUUGAAUUUGGGUGAUUUUUGUUUUUUGUCAUUUUUUGUGCCUUACUGCUUUCUUAGCCCUGUUUAGGUUUGUGCAUUAUAUUUGCAGUACUUUUUAGGGUCUAAUGAUGGUCCUAACUCAAUUUUUUUUUUUUUAAUUUUUGAAAAAAUAUGCCUUGGGGUGAUUUUAUUUUUUUUGUUUUUUUUUGUGCCUUACUGCUUUCUUAGUUCUGUUUAAGUAUGUGCAUUAUAUUUGCAGUAGUUUUUAGGGUCUAAUGAUGGUCCAAACUCAUUUUUUUUUUUUUUUAAAUUUUUGAAAAAAUAUGCCUUACUUUUGAUUUUGGGUGCUUUUAGUUUUUUGUCAUUUUUUGUGCCUUACUCCUUUCUUAGCCCUGUUUAAGUAUGUGCAUUAUUAUUGCAGUAGUUUUUAGGGUCUAAAAAUGGUCCUAACUGAAUUUUUUUUUUUUUUUUGAAAUUUUUGAAAAAAUAUGCUUUGUUAUAGCCUUACUUUUGAUUUUGGUUGCUUUA